CGUGUUGGUUAUGAAGUUGUGUCUUAUCAUGGUAGGUACUUCCAAGUUUCCGUACGCUUUCUAAUUUUAGGAGAAGUUAUUAGGUUUAUCGGAAAUCCUUGAUCCUAGACGUCAUUGUAUGCGGGACGAAGCAGUAUCUAUGAUGUUACCUAUUAUAAUCGUUGUAGAAGGUGUUACUGGAUGAUGGUAGAGAUCCUCGUUCUCGUUUGGUUAGAUAGUUCGACUCUUUUAAGUAAUAAAGAGGGAUACUAAGGGCAAUGUCCUAGACCCUUUGCAAGAACGAACACGAGCAACAAAUAAGUCGUACCUAGAUGGGCAAACUUGAUCGUAAAGACUCCGUAGAGAGUACCUUCGAAAAGGAUCAACUCUUGUAACAGUUGUCGAAGAAGCGUUAACUAUAACAAGAGUGGAAAAAAGAUCCUAUAGAGCUAGUGUUCAGGAUAGAAGAUCACCUAUUAGGUUUUUCCUAACGUCGAUCUAUAGAGAGAAGGACCAAGUAAGAACUGCAGACAAGGUGUUAAGGUAUAGUUGGCAAACCCGAUGAGAAAUUGUUCGUGCCUUUACCGGAACGGAUAUCCUGUGAAUUGUACGAAGCUAAUACCGCAGAGGCUGCGGAGUCACGAAAUAAACGGUCCGAACUUUUCCUAUAGGCUACCUUGAUGAUGCCCUAUUCCACGUGGUUUGAUUAGAGACAAUGAGAAAAACGUUAUGUAACAAGUCCUACAAAGUAAAUGAAUUAUCGACUAUGUAUGGGGCUAGGUAGUUCUUGGACCUAUCCUCGUCGUUAUGGUUUGAUGUCUAGUCUCUCAAAUACCCAAGCUAUGCACUGUCGUUAAAUAACCAGGUAAUGUUGUGAGUGUUGUUGACCAAUACCGCUAAAUGUACGCCUCUUAGGUUCUCUUUACAGUAAAACGUAUACGAAGUACGAUAAAUUGGACCCUAACUGUCGUAUGGAGUAACCAUUGUACUGUUUGGAUCAACAGGUCCCUUCAACGGCAUGGUCCUUAAAAUCUCUAUGGUAGGUACGACGGAGAGCCAAACGACGUUCCUUAGUCAAUGGACUUGUUUAAUCCCUACUUUACGAUCGAGUAUAGACGGACUCCAUAUUCUGUCUUCCCGAAUUUGUUUUCCUUUGUAACCUAUCAGAGGGGUUCCGUUAAGCAAGUUCGUAUCGUACGGUAAAUAAGGAGGGACAGGAUCUUUUUUAGAUAGAAAAGCUACCACAAAGGAAAUGAACGUCCGAAGUUAACCAAUGGUGUUACCUUCGUCUCAUGAUGGGUGGUUCUCUUUGACAGUAUGAGGUCUUACUUUGUGGAUGUCUACAAAUGUAUAAUCAAAGUCCUCGUCACAAAAUAAUAAAACAAACCGUCCUCCUUUCCUACUACUAACUACCCGCUCUUUUCCAACUCUUUGAUGAUAGUCCACCACUGUAUAAACCGCUUUAUCCUCAAGAUACGUCGUAAGGAGUUGGUAAAUGAAAGGCGUGCAGGUCUUAAAGUGUUGAUAAUUCCGAAUUGCGUUGUCACGAGUUUUUGUAGUAAGUCCUUUUGUUUGUGCUGUUCCUUUAAUAUUACUUGUUAGAAAUGGUCCAUACACUUCCCUGCGAGCUAGUUGUGAAACCUCUCAUGUCGCCUACAAGACGUAGGUUAGUUCAGUUGUAUUUGUUACUUAGUUUUCGUCCUCUUUGUAAUUAUGACGGAACGUCACUUCUUGCAACAUUUCUUGAGUUACUUAGUCUGUCUGUACCUCGUUAAGUGUCAUGAUAGCUUGUCCCGAAGAAGUUAUCUUUGCAACUAAAAGGAGUAUUUCCACUUCUAUACCUUUUAGCACAACGAUGUUCAGUCUAAUACCUGUUUACCUUCCGUCUACUUGUACUUGUAUGUAACUGUCUGUUGACGUACUGUCCUAUAUCUUCCCGAGCUCUAUUCGAGUUUGUGUAUACCGUUCCGUGUUAUAAUCCCGUCGGUUUUUAGUGUCUAUUUUACGAAUGUACGAGUCAAUGACCUCUUGAAGUCCUUUAGUGACUAUGUGCGUGUCUUCGACCAAAACACCAAAGUCUUUCUUUUUCUCACUGUUAAGUAUACGUAGGUGUUGUCUUGUUUUCGAGUAGCCACGGUAUACGUUUUCAGUAUUUAGAUGGUCCUAGUGACCUAGUUGAAAAGCCGUAUCGAGCACUCUUCAAAGGCCCAAUAACAGGACACUUCGACAAGUUAGUUCUAAAACGACUUUAACUGCUAUAUUGUCAUUAAUCUCUACCACUGGUCAACAAAGAAUACCUUCAAACUAAUUCCUACGACUUUUGAUAUUUGGUACCUUUCCCCGUUUCUCGUUACGUAUCCUAUACUUCAUCCUGAACGUAAACUCUUUCAAUGGAUCUAGAGUUGUUUGUCCCUAACUCGCUGAGCCACUUUAGUACUUCUUUUACCGUAGGUCCUUAAUCAACCUCAAUGUCAACAGCUCAUCGAUGAUUAAAUCGAGACUUACAUCUAUACUUCUACACUAUCUUUGUCAAAACUUAGACAAGACGUCUACUUUACAAACCCCUCCCGUCUGGAGUCGACUUAACUAGCAAGAUCUCGAUCCAAGUACACACCUCCGUAAUAAGACAGGUCCACCACUACCUCUCCGACCCCGUAGUUAGGCAAACACACCACUCCGUAGCAAAACAGGCGGGCUGACACCGUCCUGGCUCCAUAGUAAGACCAAUACAAGUACGACCCCAAGACA
rnacentral:rRNA from 1 species